rnacentral:rRNA from 1 species
AUUCCAGCUCCAGUAGCGUAUAUUAAAGUUGUUGCAGUUAAAAAGCUCGUAGUUGGAUUUCUGGCCUGACGAAACUGACCCGCCGCGGUUACGCGUGUGAGUGUCGGGCUUCGUCUGCCAUCCUUCCAGAAAGCGUUUCUACCCUUCACUGGGCUGGAUUCGCGAUCUGGAACUUUUACUUUGAAGAAAUUAGAGUGUUCAAAGCAGGCUUGCGCUGUGAAUACAUUAGCAUGGAAUAAUAAUUUAGGACUCAGGUCUUAUUUUGUUGGUUCUUAAGAUCUAAGUAAUGAUUGAUAGGGAUAGUUGGGGGUGCUAGUAUUCAGCGGCCAGAGGUGAAAUUCUUGGAUUCGCUGAAGACUAACUUAUGCGAAAGCAUUCACCAAGGAUGUCUUCAUCG